rfam:Halobacteroidaceae bacterium T328-2 scaffold_428, whole genome shotgun sequence.
AACUCUUUUAAAUUAGUCCUGUGAGGCUAGUAAGGAGUGAGGAAUCUUACUUAUCUUAUUUAGGUAAGAUAUGUUAGUGAGUAAUUAAACCUCCUUAUGGCUGCAUAGUGGCUAUGAGGAGGUUUUUUAU